UUCGCCCUUAGAGUUUGAUCCUGGCUCAGAGCGAACGCUGGCGGCAGGCUUAACACAUGCAAGUCGAACGGGCUUCUCCGGAAGUCAGUGGCAGACGGGUGAGUAACACGUGGGAACGUGCCCUUCGGUUCGGAAUAACUCAGGGAAACUUGAGCUAAUACCGGAUACGCCCUUAUGGGGAAAGGUUACUGCCGAAGGAUCGGCCCGCGUCUGAUUAGCUUGUUGGUGGGGUAACGGCCUACCAAGGCGACGAUCAGUAGCUGGUCUGAGAGGAUGAUCAGCCACACUGGGACUGAGACACGGCCCAGACUCCUACGGGAGGCAGCAGAAGGG
rnacentral:rRNA from 1 species